rnacentral:tRNA from 1 species
GCGCUGGUCGUCUAGUGGUAAGGAUGCCACCUUCCCAAUUAGGCUUAGCGUGGAAAAGGUGGUCACGCGGGUUCGAAUCCCGCCCGGCGCA